GCGGGCGUGGCGAAAUGGUAGACGCAGCAGACUUAAAAUCUGCUUCCUCACGGAGUGCCGGUUCGAGUCCGGCCGCCCGCACCA
rnacentral:tRNA from 1 species